ensembl:lncRNA
AACACACACACAUAUUCUCGCAUCCUGCUGCUCUUAGAUCCUCUGAGUCCCAUCAUAAGUGACUCUGAUGGCAUCUGGUCUGUUGUUCUGUUCCCAGAGGCUCUCUCUGUGUUUUCUGCUUUCUGUUUCCUCGUGCUGAUUAAUUCCAGUGAUCUGCGAAUGAGACUCGGUCUUUCCUCUGUUAUCCUUUUAAACAUUAGGCCUGCUUCAGUGCAUCAGGACACCGAGGAGACCUUUCAGCAGGCGGAUGAAGAUUAAUGCAUGUGUGUAUUUCUGGAGAGUGCAAAAGAGACAGCAGUGUAAUAUAUGUCUGACUCUCAUUCUGACGGCACCUAUUCACUGCAGAGGAUCCACUGGUGAGAAAGUGAUGUAAUAUCAAAUUUCUCCAAAUCUUUUCUGAUGAAGAAACAAACUCAUCUACAUCUUGAAUGACCUGAGGGUAAGCGCGCGUGUGUCUGCAUGCAUCGAUAGGCUGUGGAAUACUCCUCUCCGAGCUGAUCUGAGCUUUAGCGCUCCUAUCACUCAGCAAGAGGUCCACUUUAACCCUCUCUUUUAUUAAUGGCCACCCAACACUGAGCUGCAAUAAGGACAUGAGAAACGGCAGAGAGGGGUAAUUUGUCGUGAACACGGCCAAAGGUCGAGGAGUUCAGCUGGGAGAAUCUUCUGGGUGCUUCGGAGAGAGAUGGUGGACGAGAGAAGAACAUGGGGCCAAACCAAACAUGCUCGGCUGUCUCUAACUCUCUCAUUCUGCUCGAGAUGGAUCUGGCUUAUGGCCAGGACACAUUAAGAGAGAUGAUGACAGACAGAGAUAAAUAACCGGAACAUUAAUCAUAGAACGAGAGAAAGGCCAAAUGAGUCAGUAGAGAAAGGAAAGUAAGAAAAGGUGUGAAUGAGGCAGAUGACAGGGAAUCCUUCUACAGAAUGAUGGAGAUCUGCUCCAUGCAAGACAACAGAAGCUGAAACAACAACAAAAGAGCCCUUUUUAAGGCAAUAUCUGACAGUUUUGAACACUAAACAGUUCACAUUGUAAUGCAAGGAAUUCGAGGUAGUGCAGCGAAACUCGACUGAGAAACACAGGACCACACACAGCUGGUGUUUAGGAGCGUUUCCUCAAACCUGCUACCAAUUUUGCUCCUAAUCUGCAGCCCUGACCACCUCUGGCUUUUCUGAUGGUGUAAUUCAUGAUUUCAGUGGAACGUGGAUUCUGUCUGGCAGGACGCAGCGGCUCACAGUGUGAUAAGCCGCACGCAUUGGGCUGCUCUCAGAUAUAUAAACUUCUUUUCAGAGACUUUGUGGUUUUCAGAGGAGCCUGUUGGUCUAUGAGUCUAUUUCAUGGAGUUAUUUUGAGAUACUAAACUACAAUAUUGUGGUUAAAAACUUUGGUUCCAAACUGUUUUCCACAAAAAGGGGAAUCCUAGCCACAUUGAUGACUGUGAAUGCACAAAUCUUACCUGUACAAAAAUAAAUAAUUCAUGAAUCAUUUGCUAUUCUAGGUUGGCUGCACCUUCUGCACUGUGUUGGUGCAAUUUAGAAGUAAAAUAUGACAAUAAUUGCAAAUACAUAGGGGUGUCUCUCUCUGUCUUUCUCUCUUUCUAUACUGUAUAUGUUACCCAUCAUAUGUUAUAUGUGUGUGUGUGUAUAUAGCAUAAUGUGUAAGUUAGUACACAGUGGAAUUGUAAUCACUGAGGUGGAAAUGAAAGCAUAACUGAAAUACAAUUACCAUAAUAUAAAGGAUACAUUAAUAUGUGAUCU